CACUCUAGAGAGACUGCCAGGGAUAACCUGGAGGAAGGUGGGGAUGACGUCAAAUCAUCAUGCCCCUUAUGCUUAGGGCUACACACGUGCUACAAUGGGUAGUACAGAGGGUUGCCAAGCCGUAAGGUGGAGCUAAUCCCUUAAAGCUACUCUCAGUUCGGAUUGUAGGCUGAAACUCGCCUACAUGAAGCUGGAGUUACUAGUAAUCGCAGAUCAGAAUGCUGCGGUGAAUGCGUUCCCGGGUCUUGUACACACCGCCCGUCACACCACGGGAGUUGGAGACGCCCGAAGCCGAUUAUCUAACCUUUUGGAAGAAGGCGUCGAAGGUGGAAUCAAUAACUGGGGUGAAGUCGUAACAAGGUAGCCGUAUCGGAAGGUGCGGCUGGAUCACCUCCUUUCUAAGGAGA
rnacentral:rRNA from 1 species